CCUUGUACACACCGCCCGUCACACCACGAAAGCCUGUUGGACCAGAAGUCACUAGGCCAACCCGUAAGGGAGGCAGGUGCCAAAGGUCUGGCCGGUGAUUGGGGUG
rnacentral:rRNA from 1 species